rnacentral:lncRNA from 1 species
GUUCUCCAGAACUGGUCAGAACCUGCUGAAUACCACCUCUGCUCCUCGGGGACCUCUUUCACCACUGCUGCCAGCCUUCACAAUCUCCGAAGGCAGCAUCCCACUCCCUGAUAGCCCUGGCCCCAUCCCUGCAUCACACGCAGGCCCCUCAUCUGAGUCCUCACUGUCCAAGACCUCAGCCGUCCGCACCUGCUGCCAGCGAACCACAACACAAUCCCAAUGGGGUGAGAUGGUCCUUCAAUGCUUUCAGCCUUGCAGGAGUCUAUUAAUGUAACCUUAGAACAGAGGUCUCCAAACUUGGCAACUUUAAGACUCGUGGACAGCAUAGCUGGCUGGAGAAUUCUGGGAGUUGAAGUCCACAAGUCUUAAAGUUGCCAAGUUUGGGGACCCUUGCCUUAGAAUGAAGAGAGAGCUAGCAGGCCUGGUUGGGCUUCUUGGCUUCUUGUCUAUAUCGCCUCGCAGGGCUUACCCCGUGUGUAACACCCACAACUUCCAGUUCCUCCCAUCACACCCACAAUUGUCACCGACUUAGAAGUCCUUGUAAGCUGUUAAAACAUCCCACUGAAUUAACUUUCUGAAAUUCACAGAUCUUGUUGUCGGGCCGCCCGAACUCUCUAUGGAAGAAAUCACCACUGCUGUGGUAAGGAGGAGAAAAUAUAUAUAUAUAUAUAUAUAUAUUCUUUUUAUUUAUUUUUUUAGUUUCUCUCUAUUCGAACCUUCCCAGCUACCCUGGAAAAAAAAUUCUCGGUGAACAUGGAUCGUAACGUUCUACAGCUACUCAGAGAGAUUGGGUGGGCUUCUGGGGUUGUGUGUGUGACUGACAAAGCAACGUGAGCUGAAAUUGAGACCCAAAGCGGAAUCUGACAGAACACUUAAUGUGUUGUGUUGUGUGCAUCUCCAGCCCAACACUCGCAUGGCGUCGGAGGGGUUCUGCAGCUGCGGGUUUUGCAAUGUCGGGUUUUGUUUUAUAAACAGAGAUCUAUAUUUUCUUCCCCACCCCACCCUCCUUCAGAUGAGCCUGGACUGCAAUACAAUUAUUUUGACCACAGCCGUAUAGCGCCAAAUUAUCAAAAAGGAGCCUGGCCUCAGUUUACCAAACCAAACAGAAAACUCUUCCAGAAGCUCAUCCUUUUCCUUCAAGAAGUCCAUCCUUUUCCUUCUGAGGACAUCAAGAUGGCAGCAUUUCCCUCAAAACCAAUUCCUCGCUUCAUCUUUUUUGUCAGCACAAGCCCUUACUGGAUGUGGUGUCCAUCUCCCUCAACAUUGUCACACUGACUGCUUCUCUUCGCUUUGCAUCCUCUGAAUAACCUAGAUCUGAAUGAAAUUUUGUAAAAUAAAAU